AUUGAACGCUGGCGGCAUGCUUUACACAUGCAAGUCGAGCGGCAGCGCGGGGGCAACCCUGGCGGCGAGCGGCGAACGGGUGAGUAAUGCAUCGGAACGUACCCUGGAGUGGGGGAUAACGCCGCGAAAGCGGCGCUAAUACCGCAUAUGCUCUGAGGAGGAAAGUGGGGGGACCGCAAGGCCUCACGCUCUGGGGAGCGGCCGAUGUCCGAUUAGCUAGUUGGUGGGGUAAAGGCUUACCAAGGCGACGAUCGGUAGCUGGUCUGAGAGGAUGAUCAGCCACACUGGGACUGAGACACGGCCCAGACUCCUACGGAGGCAGCAGUGGGGAAUUUUGGACAAUGGGGGCAACCCUGAUCCAGCCAUGCCGCGUGAGUGAAGAAGGCCUC
rnacentral:rRNA from 1 species